rnacentral:rRNA from 1 species
GAUGAACGCUGGCGGCGUGCCUAAUACAUGCAAGUCGAGCGAACAGACGAGGAGCUUGCUCCUCUGACGUUAGCGGCGGACGGGUGAGUAACACGUGGAUAACCUACCUAUAAGACUGGGAUAACUUCGGGAAACCGGAGCUAAUACCGGAUAAUAUAUUGAACCGCAUGGUUCAAUAGUGAAAGACGGUUUUGCUGUCACUUAUAGAUGGAUCCGCGCCGCAUUAGCUAGUUGGUAAGGUAACGGCUUACCAAGGCAACGAUGCGUAGCCGACCUGAGAGGGUGAUCGGCCACACUGGAACUGAGACGGGGUCCAGACUCCUACGGGAGGCAGCAGUAGGGAAUCUUCCGCAAUGGGCGAAAGCUUGACGGAGCAACGCCGCGUGAGUGAUGAAGGUCUUCGGAUCGUAAAACUCUGUUAUUAGGGAAGAACAAAUGUGUAAGUAACUAUGCACGGCUUGACGGUACCUAAUCAGAAAGCCACGGCUAACUACGUG